CCGCCCCGCUCCCCGCGCAUGCGCAGCGGGGCUGUGGGGCGGGAGAGCAGGGGGAGCGCUGGGAGCAGCGAGAAUGUAAAGGAGCUGCUUGUUGGAUGAGUGGCUGCUCAUCCCCGUUCACUGACAGGAUCCUCUUCUCCGGCGGCUGCUCCUCGGGCUGGCGGGCGAUCAGCAGGCGGCAGAUGAAAGCCAGCUGACAUUUGACACCCUUUGCUCCCUGGGUUAUACUGGAUUUAGAAGCCAUCUAAGUUGGAAGACUGCCUCCUUACACAGCUGCCUCAUUGUUUCAGGGAAGAAACAACCUCUGUCCUUAGACACGUUCAAGUUCUUGCAUUUGAACAUUAAGUGCUUGUGGACUUACUGUUUUGUUUCUUUUCUUUUUCAAUCAAACAUUUCUUUUUUUUUUUUAAAUUAUUUUAAUACAGCUCCUAGUUAUUGGAGACACUGAAAUUAUUUCCACUUACACUUGAGUCUCCUGUCCCUGCAGAUAUUCUUGCCACUGUGUUCUGUGAUUUUUAGUCAGGAAGAGAGAAAUGGAAGCCAAAUCUCAGUACAGAGUUGUUCAGCUCUCACAGGCACUGAUAAGAUUGUAGAUACACUUCCAUGUGAUUUUGGAAACCUGCACUACAGGCAGACAGAACUUCUCCCACUUCUCUGUAGAUUUUGCUGCUUCCUUCCAAGACGAGCAGCCUCUUCACGUGUGAUUGAAAAAUAAUACAGCACUGCAGUUUUUGGUACUAAAUAAAAUAUCAUGACACUUAUUCUAAGUGUAUGUAUUGUAAGGGUGCAUCGUAAACCUUCAGUGAAUAAAAACUUUCCUCAGAGCAGACUAUUUUUAAACUGUUGUGAAAAAUACAGCUUUAUAAAGCAAUGUCUUGGAGUAUUCUGGUAAGUAUUUUAAUACACAAACUAGUGUGUCUGGGUUUUGCUGGAUGAAAAACUGGAAGUUUGGUGUUUUAGGUAGAUAACAAAGGUUGUCUAUUUUUGGGGGCUUACUGAUUGGCAAGAUCAGGUUUUCAGUGUCUCCAUUACAUGUCAGGCCACUCUGGUAUGCAGCAGAGCAAAGGCAGGAAAGCCCAAGGACCCAUGUACAUGCUUCAGUGUGGGCUAUUAAGAAUGAUGGUGCUGUGCAAUA